GGUCCCGCCUGCCCAGUGACUCUUUAAACGGCCGCGGUAUCCUAACCGUGCAAAGGUAGCAUAAUCACUUGUCCCCUAAAUAGGGACUGGAAUGAACGGCUUAAUGAGGACAAAACUGUCUCUUACGGACUAGCCAAUGAAAUUGAUCCUUCAGUACAAAAGCUGGAAUUAGCCCAUAAGACGAGAAGACCCUGUGGAGCUUCAAAACCAAAAUCACCAAACAUGCUUCAUGGGUUUUUAGUUGGGGCGACUUUGGAGCAAAAAAAACCCUCCAAACAUAAAUCUAUUUAUUAAGACUAACACACCAAAAAAAAUAUUAUAGACCCAGCAGUAUCUAUUUACUGNCUGACCAAUGAACCAAGUUACCCCAGGGAUAACAGCGCCAUCCUCUUCUAGAGUCCUUAUCGACAAGAGGG
rnacentral:rRNA from 1 species